rnacentral:rRNA from 1 species
UAAACUAGGAUUAGAUACCCUAUUAUUAUAAAUGUUCAUUUUUAUACUAAAUUAUUAAUAGUUAUGUUCUUUAAAAUUAAAAAAUUUGGCGGUAUUUUAGUCUUUUCAGAGGAACCUGUCCUGUAAUUGAUAGUCCACGAUUAGGGAUACUUUAUUUAUUAAUUUACAUAUCGUCGUAGUUUGAAUAUUUUAUUAGAAUUAUAAUAUUCAAGAUUUUAUUUUAGAAAAUAUAUCAGAUCAAGGUGUAGUUUAUAAUAAAGAAGAGGUGGGUUACAAUAAAUUUAUUUUUGAAAAAAUUUUUUGAAAAAAUUUUGAAUUUGGAUUUGAAAGUAAUUUUUUGAGUUUUACUAAAAAUGAUUAUAGCUCUAAAAUAUGUACACAUCGCCCGUCGCUCUUAA